AAACCAUUCUCCGCCUGGGCAUGAGAAAAGUCCACAACUGAACAAGAGAGCAACAGAGCGAGCUCCCGGAGGAAGCAGUAGCUGCAGGAAGCGCCGGUACCUUUGCUCCGCUGCCUUUCCCUACAAGCUGCCGCCAGACCCGGCGCCCUCCUGCCCACCUUCCCCCCUUCUCAGGGGCCUUUCCCGGGCUGCGGAACACAAAAGAACCGACUGCGAGGCGGCGCGCGAAGCUGGGAGCCUCCAGGAAUCCGCCGUCGCCUGGGGGAGGGGAUCGCCCCUGAGUCCUGUAGUCCGGAGCGCCACCAAGGCAUUUCCCCACCCAGUCCUGUUUGAACGCCGGGUUGAGGAUUGGAACCUCUCCGACCCAUUCUCGGGAACUUAGCUCGAGCCCCGAUCCUCCAGCAGCCACGAAGCUCUGCUCAGUCCACAUUCCUCUUUGUUGUCCCUGGUCCCCGCAUUCUGUCAAGGUAUGCCCUGAGCGCUCCUGCUCUCCAUCUCUAGGAAAGCUGAAAUUCUCGGUGCUGUGUGACCCUAAGGGCUGACUGGAGCCAGGACUUCCAGCCCGGGUGCGUGCGCUUGGCAACGGCCGCAGGGAGGCGGUUUGCCCUUGCACCGGCAUCGCCCUCCCGCUGCGGCCAGUAGCACUGUGAGCUGCACAUAGGUAGCAGAUGGUGGCUGGUGGCCGGGAGUCCCACGUCCUGUCCCCCUCCCCCAGCCUACCCCCCACCUUGGCCUUUCCUGGAGUUUUCCUUACCGCAAAAGAGUUCUCAAGACCCAGACCGAACCUCCUCUCGCCGCCCUUCCCGAAAGCGGGCCGGUGGCCUGAAAGUCUCACCGCCUCCUGCUCUUGUCUCCGGAACCCAGCGACCUCCACCCCUCCACAGGAUGGAAGGAGUACCGGAGCGGAGCAAUGUGCCGCGGAGAGGAGCCGGCCACCGCCGCGGGAAAAAGUUUGCACGCUCUAUAACCAGUCCUCCAGACCCUGGGCUCGCCCACUGGCCGAGACCCACACCACCCUGCAGCCCCUCCAGCUUCGGGAAGACAAACUAGGUUCCCGCCACCUGCUGUGGAGGCAGAGGAAGACGUUGCUCGAGCUUCUCCACUCCUCAUCCCUGCCCUGGGUGUUCUAGAAGAGGGGGAGCUCAGCGCCCCGCGCUGGGUCGGCACUCGGAGCAACUCACCUCUCCGGUCCAGCUCUCCUCCGGGUCUCGGAACCCUCCAGCCCCUCGCCUCUAAGCUGGGCUCCUUCCACUUAAUUCAUGAAUUAUUUAAGGUCCAGCCCCAGGGCACCACAAGAGUGAUUGGGUGAGAGCCCGUCCCACUGCUCCGCCCCGGGUUGGCUAAGGGUGCCUGAGUCAGGACCACGGGACUCCAGGACUCUGGGAACCUGUUGCGUCCUCUAGGGUCUCUGGCAGAGGUUUGGGGAUGGAACUAAAGGAACACCGACUCCUUCAGAAACGUACUUACUCAGGGCUGAGCUUAAGGCCAGGUGCCGGGGUCUCCACAAGGCUCGGUAAUUUAAAGAGCAGGAGCCUAGGGCUCUGAGUCUGAGCGCACUGAUUGGACCUUCUGAGAGGCUACAAUGCCCUGGGGACACCCACGGGACAGAGCAUUUAUUUCCUGCUGAAAUCCCUGCUCAGUCCCAGAACACCCUUCUCUAUCACCUAAUCCUAAAUCGCUGCUUGGAAGGCCGCUAGCUCCUAAAAUCUCUAACCUCCACACUUUCCUGGCUCUUUAGACACGAUACCGGUACUCAGUGCAUUUUAUUUAAAACAACUAAAAAACAAACAAACAAACAAAAAUCAUCUAAGGGGGAGAAAAAUUGGCUGUAGUGUAUCCCUGUGCUAUCAGGGACAAACACAACGCUGGUCCUUUUGAUCAAUUACAUUCCUGGAUUCAACCAAAAGUGGGUAGAGAAUAGACCAAGGAAGAAUAGCGCCUCUGGGACAUUUUUACCAUCAAAGGAUGCGUAUUAAUUGUGUGCGGGUUGUUAGGUAGAUGGACGGAGAGAUGAAAGAAUGGCUGCACAGAUGUUGGAAGAAUAGGUAUGUGGACACAUGGCCUUUUAAAAAUAGUUUACGUGUAUGAAUGUUUUGCCUGCAUGAAUGUAUGUGUAGCACUUUACCGUGGAGUUGGUCAAAAGAAGGUGUUGGCUUCCCUGUCACUGGAGUUACAAAGGGUUGUGAGCUGCCAUACGGGCUGGGUGCAGGGAAUUAAACUCUGCAAAGAGGGAGUGCCUCUGCCAAAACAACCGAUGCUUUAUACCACUCACCAAUCUCCCCAGCCCUGACAAAUGAACUUUAAUUUAGUAAUUUUCUCACCACAAAAUAUAGCAUACACUGAGGAUGGGCAGGGGAAGGUGAAAUUGAAAUUGACCUCUACACGGCGAAGGUGUAGAAAGAGUUCAUUCAGAAAGACCACUGAGAAACCACGGAAAACUGAAGCAAGCAGUGUUGGAGUACUAGAGAAGUCUAAGAUGGCCAGUUCUCCCCUUUACAGUCUCCUGGGCUCCACAGCUUUCCUGCUCAGAGGCAGACAGGCUACUGAGGAUGGUGUUAGCUUGAGACUUGAGUUCUCUCUCCUGGGAGCUCCUAGCUGUCCCCGAGCUGCCUAUUUUACCAGCAUGGGCACUCAUGGCCUUAUCACUCUGAAUCCAGCUUCUGUGUCUGCAAACCAGCACAGGGCUGGCUACCCGUACUCCUUCUCGUUCCUUGUACAUCCACAAAGUUCGGGCAGCGGUGUGAUAAGGCUCUACGCCAUGUGUUCUAAGCGGAUUUUUUAUAUGAACUUACCAACAAGAGCUUUCUAAUAUCUUAUCAAUGAUUAACUGUGUGGUGCAGGCUUGCCAGAGGUCACAUAGUUACUGAAGCCCCAAAGUUGAACCCAGCUCUGGCCUCCAGAACCCAGAGAAUAGGUGAAAUAGGUCUCUGACCAGUGCCACAUUGAAUUGAAAUGGAUGUCCAUUGCUGUGUGAUUUUUCCCCCCUGUGGAGAUGUGAGCAAAUGUCUAAUGUUCGCUGACAUUAAACUAAAUAUGCAGCUUUCUAAAUCUAGCUUGAUGAACAAAAUAGUUUCAGGGGAUUACUUAUAGGAAUGUGAGUAGGAGGCUGAUUCCAUGAGCUCGGGUGACACAAAGGUGACUACAUCAAUGGAAAAGCCCAUCCCUGUAAGGAUAACAGUCCAUGAAAGAGCUACAUUGUACCUGGGUGGUGGUCCCAGCACAUGGGAAGCAGAGGCAGGCAGAUCUCUUGAGUUUGAGGGCAGCCUGGUCUAUUGAGUGCGUUUCAGGACAGCCGGGACUACACAGAGAAACCCUGUUGUCUGGAAAAGACAAAAAAUAACAACAACAAAUAAUAACAACUACUGGAGCCCGAUGAACAGCUUGCAAGCAGCUCCACAGAAUUCCGGAGCAAUUGUGUAAUGCUACCCUGAGGCCUUGUGAGUCUUGCAAGUUUCGGAGCUUUGCUGAGCCUCCUGAUCCUUGGUUUUUCUGAAUCUUACCAAGCUCCCUCCUCCCUGCAGGAAGGGCUGGUUCAAGCCAGAGGAAGUGGCUACACAACCAUCUGCCUUCCCAUCGCUUAGGACACAGUGCUUCAACAGUUCCUUACAUUUCCACAUUCUAGCCUAACCCCUAUUCUGCCUGAACGAUUUUCUAUGUUUAACAUGAACAAAUGAAUAAGAACAAAACCCAAUGGUAAGAUAUAUCCUGGGUAGCCUUAAGUCAAAGAGAGAGCUAGCUCAGCAGUUACAAUCUCCUGCUGCUCUUGCAGAGGGUACAAAUUUAGUUCUCAGUACCAUGUGGGUGCCUCACAACAGCCUGUAGUACCAGCUCUAGGUCUCCUAUACCACCACCUUCUGGUCUUCUCUGGUAACUGCACUCAGGUGCACAUACAAACCAAUCCACAUAAUUUAAAAUAAAGUUUUUAAAUGUAA